rnacentral:lncRNA from 1 species
CCCGGCGGCGCGCUGCCCGCUGCUGACACCGUGUGGAGCCGCGCCGGGGCUGCAGCGCGCCCCGUCCUUCCGCGGGUCCCGCCGGCAGCGCUGCCGAAAGCCCCCGGUCCCGCUUCACGGAUGGUUAGAGGAAGAGCUCGGCAGCGGUUUCCUACCGUCGAGCGUUACAGAAUUGCAUGGGUUGGAGGAGACCUCUGGAGAUGAUCAAGUCCAAACCCCUGCUAAAGCAGGUACCCUACAGCAGAUCACACAGGAGCCUGACCCCAUGGACUUGACUCCCACACUUCAGAUAUUUAUGAACAGCGAUGGGAUUUCUUCUCAGCCUUCUCUUCUCCAUGCUGAACAGCCUUCUCUCAUAAAGGAGAUGCUCCAGGACCCUCAUCAUCUCUGUGGCCUUCCGCUGGACUCUCUCUAGAAGUUCCCUGUCUUUUUUGAACCGAGGAGCUCAGAACUGGACAUAGUACUCUGGAUGUGGCCUCACCAGAGCAGAAUUGAGGGGGAAGAUCACCUCCCUUGACCUGCUGGCCACACUCUUUUCAAUGCACUCCAGGAUACCAUUGCCCUGCUUGGCCACCCAGGCGCACUGCUGGCUCAUGGCCAACCUGUUAUCCACCAGGACCAUUAAGUUCUCCUCAGAGCUCCUCUCCAGCAGGUCAGCCCCUAACCUGUACUGGUGCACAUGGUUAUUCCUCCCCAGGUGCAGGGCACUACACUUGCACUUGUUGAACCUCAGCAGUCUGAUCAGGUUUUGUUGAAGGGCAGCACAGCCCUCUGGUGUGUCAGCCAUUCCUCCCACCUUUGUAUAAUCAGCAAACUUGCUGAGGGUGGAAUCCCCUCAUCUAGAGUGGUCCCUACUGAUCAUUCUGACGUGGUGCUAAAGUGGCCAGAGUGGACCAGUACAUCAGAUCCACAAAGUGUGGAUUUAUUCAGAAGUCUAAAGAUCUCUCAAUACCCUCUUCCCCUUGCUCAUUACCACUGGCUUGUGCAAUGCUGAACUGGUGCCAGUCAUGUGGUUGCAGCUAAGUGGUUGUGUCCUCCUCCACUCAUACAGCAGGGAUGCAUCUGCUCUAGAAACAGGGAAGACUACAUAAAAAUACAUUUCGGCUAAUUUUGUUCUGAAGUACUCUAGGACACUGCAGUAGUAGAACUUAUUUUAGAUGAAAAUUGCACAUCUGCAAAGAUUUCUGCAUCAUCCCGAUAGUGUUCUGGCAUCUCCAUUUCAGCAAUUCCCUCAGUGCAAAGUGGAUUUUGUGAAAAGAAAAUACACAUGAGUGGAUUGCCACCUGCAGCUUAGUUUUCUAUGAAUCUGAAACAGUGACUCAGUACUCAAAGAUAUUGUUAGAUAAUAAUAUACCACUUAUAUGUGUGUAUAUAUAUAUAUAUAUGUGGAUGCCUUUAUGCUGUUGAUGUUUUUUUUCAUGGUCUCUCUAGGUUAGUAUUUCCUUAUCAGUUUUAAGUUCUGCAUCUCUACUUCAAAUAAGAUGAGAUGGAGUCCUUGAUUUCAGUUGCUAUAUGCUUCUCUUCAUCCUUCCCAACUAAACAUGGAGCUUUGUUGGAUACCAGCCCUCUUCUGGAAUCUUGCCAAAAGCAGGUGCUUCCUACAACACGUGAUGGCCUGUUUGAAAUAACAAAUUCUGUUAGGCAACAAUGGAGAAGAAAGAAAAACCAGAUACUGGGUGGGCAUUUUGGAUCACAGUAAUAUAAGGAAGCCUAAAGUUGUGUCUCUCGCCUAACUCCUCGGUGUCUCCAUAUCCAGAAAGGUGGAUGGAUCUCUCUUUGCAGUGACCAAGAAGGCAGAGUUCAUGGUGCACUUGGCAGACCUUGCUGGGUUGUUCACAGGUUAGAUAUGAGGAGGGUUCAUUACCCUGAAAUGAUGGUUUUCUGCUUUAAACUCAUUUGUGUUAAGGUAGGGAAAGAAUGAUUCUGCUACCAGGUCAAUCACCCCCAAUUCUCUUCUUGUUUCUUUUUAUACUUGGGCUCAAUUUCCUCCUUCUCCCCAGAGUUGACAUCUCAGUUAUAAGGAAAUCCAUAAAUUUUACUUCCUUUUAGAGCUGCCAAGGUUGUGUAUGGUUUGCUUUUUUUCAUGGUGAUCAGGGUGCUGUUGAGAGCAUUUGAACAGGCUUACAUACUCUCUUUUCUCUGCACAGAUAGCAAGGCUUUAUUCUGUAGCCUCUAUAAAGCCACAGAAAAGCUCCGUUUGUCAGUGAUGGAAAUUAGUGGAUACCUUUGUUCUCUCAGUGAGUGCCAUAUCCAAAAAAAAAUCAAGUUGUGGAGAUUCUCUUGCAAAUUCUAAUUAACAGUCAGGAUGGAUUCUGAAAUAGGUGGGAAACGGGAAUGUAUUCUGGAAUAUUUUUGCAUGAUAUGCCUGGUGGUACGUCAGGAUUGUGCAUUUUGAAAAGUGCCAUUGACAUCAGUGAAGGGAAUGCAGUGAAUUCAGUGAAUGCUGACACAGACAAUGCGAUUGGAACCAGAAAUAAAGGACUGAAUUGAUUUCUCCUAAUUUAGAUACCUUCAGCUGAGCUAGCCUUGAAUGUACCCAUCUCCACUGAGUAUAAAGGGACCCUAGGGUGACUUGCUCAUAUGUAAAGGUCUAUACUCUGGAAUGUUUAAUAUUAACUAAAAUUAAUCUUACUCACAAGAGUUGGUUUCUUAUUCAUUUCAGCUUUCUGCCAUGUAUCAGUUUUCUUAUGUGGGGUCAUAUUAUGGACUGAUUACAGGAUCAGAGCCUGUCUCCAUCUUAUUAGCAGAAGCUGUGGGAAAAGAAAGGAAUACAGAGAAAAGAAGCAACUGGAUAAGGCAAAUCUUUGCUCCUAAUCUGAGUAUUGUAUGUAAUGGCUGCCUGGGAAACGUGUGGUAGGAGAAAUUAAUGAUUCUGAAAUGAGAAAAACCUGGUAAGACAAUGUCUUCAAACCCAGCUCUGGAUGCUUCUGUAAAUCCUACAAAUCCCAGUGCAUCAAAGGUGCAGUAAAGGGGCCACUUUAUCCUCGAGUUUGUUGGUCUACUGGGAAACACUGCCAGCUCCUGAGAAGGCAGCACCUUGCGUUGUUCUACCUUACUCUGGCUCUCAGCCCAGUGUGGAGUCCCAGGGAGAGAGAGAAUUACCGCAACGCUUCAGGAAAGGAUAAACAAGCGGUAAGUGGAUGUUAACGUGGGCAAAGAGGACAGUGCGUCAGCAGAAUAAAAUGGCGUGAACAACUGACCUAAUGGUUACUACUACAAGAAAAGAAAAAUCUUGUGCAAAGGCUAGAGGUGGGAAAUCCGGAGAAUGCUUGUGAGCUGGAGGAAGGGAUUGAUCAGUACAUUUAUUUUUCUUGUUUGUUUUGUUUUGCAUGUAGGCAGGGGCCUCACAGUACUCUUGGAGAAUUUUAGUUGCUUCAGAUGAUGAGAUAAAUAGGGAAAGUGGUACUUGCACUGGGGGCACAUUGGAGUCCUUCCCUUUUUGUGAAAUUUCUUACUUUCUCUGGAUACAAAUUUAGCAGAAGGGAAAGCAAAAUAGAAGUGCCAGGCUGUGUCUGAAUGUCAUAAUAGAGGAGGUUUUCAAAGGUUCCGGUGAAUCAAAUAAGAUCACAGGUGCAUGCUCAAAUAGUGCUCAUGAAUUCCAGGCGGUUUAAUGAGGCUGCAUGCUGCACAAAUCAACUGCUAUGAUGUAUAAGAACAGGUCUAGACCAGAUUGCAGAAUUUUUAUUGUUAAAAAAGGCUGAAUUUUGGUUAUCACUUUCCCCUCUCUCUCUCUCUCUUUCUCUCUCUCUCUUCUUUUUUCCUGGGAUGCAAAUUCUUCAGACAUGAAGCUAAAUUUCAUAUGUCUGGGAGCUUCAUUCUCUUCUUGGAGACAUAAGACCAAGAGAAGGAUUAUGAAAAGUCUUUCCACCCAUACCUGCAGUGUACUCCUCUGACUUAUGUAUUAAUAAUGGAUCAGAAUGCUACCAUGAAUUAGCAAAGCUCUUCUUUCCUACCACUCUGUCCUAGCAGGAAAGAGAGUGUGAGUAGUGUGGAGUGAAUGCUGAUUAUCUGUGCUCAAAUAAAGGUAAAAAUUGUUUUUCAGAAAUGCUGAGCACCUGGAAUCUCAGCUGAUUUUAAGUGUGUGGAAAGCAUGGGAUAAAAUGCAGUAUCUCCAAUCAUUAUUAUAACCAAGGUCAAGUUAGUUAGGCUGGGUUUGCUACUUUCUGGCCAAGGAAAGGCACAGCACAAGUUAUCCUCUCUGAUAUUUGUAAUUUAUUAAAGAUUUAUUCGUGUUUUGUGCUCCUAAUUUAAAUCACUGUGUAAAGGUUGUCCAGUUCUUCUCUUACCUGAGUGAAUCUUGGAUAGGCAACUGAUAAUGCCUCAAGUACAGACAUGCUUUGAGAGAAAGCCCAGAAAAGAUCAUCUAAAAGAUUGCUCAGUCUGGGUAAUCUCAGGCAAUUUUUUUUCCUGAAUCAACAAACAAAAUGAUGUGAAGGCAAUAGACAAGCAAGCCUGGCUGGCUGUUACUAAGACAGAAAAGAGUUUCCAAGAGAAUGCCAUGUGGCACACACAUCAGCACAGCAUAAGGCUUGCCCAUAAACCCUGCUUUAAGAGCAUCCGCACUUAUCCCACACUACUCAGCCACAACUGGUGCUCAGAGCUGGGAAGGCAGUGUGUGUCCCCAGCUGACCCCUGCUUCUUCCAUGCGUGGAGCACUGCAUAAAGGGAUUCAGAACAAUUUCUUAGUGCUGGAAUACUGGAAAUUGCCCUCUUGAGGUGAGAGGAAACGUAUUGUUUUGCCCAUGGCUCCAGAGGUACUGAUUUCCUGAGGUGAAGUCUGCUUUUGCUCCCAUUUCUUUCCUUCUUCCUUUUCCCCACUUGCACGUGUGUGAACACACACGCAGAAAUAGCACAGGUUGCAGGAAGAAGACACAGUGUGUUCCUCUCCUUCCAAUGUGGGUGGUGAGACAGUGAGGUGGGGAGCAGAGCACAAGCGUGUUGGUGUGGGCACACCAGCGGGGCUCAGCAGCCCAUCCACAGCCCUUGGGAUCUGUGGUGUAACACACUGCCUUGUGCCAUCCCUCAGCGCAGCACCUGGGCUCGAAGCCACGCUUUAUCUCAAACCUCCUGAAGCAUAUGUGAGCCUCAUUUUUGCCAAGGCCAACCCAUCCUUUCCGUCUGAAUGCAGCAAGCCGCAAAUCCAGGAGGGAUGCUCUGCCCAAGGUGUGAGAAGAUCCUGCGGAUUCGCAUGCCUCUGCUCCUGUGCCUCAGCUGCUGAACGCUGAAAUCUCCACUGGUUGGACAGUGAGACUGGAAGCACACAGAAGCGAUAAAGAACAACGCGAGCGGAUUCAAAGGGGAUUUGGAUCAUUUAGUUGAUGAGCCAGCAGAUGGCAAAUGCUGCUUAGUAUAGAAAAUGAAAAGUAAUUAGUCUGGGAACAAAGAGCAAAUGUAAGGAAGGGGUGUUAUAUUCAGCACGCUGAUCAGAGAGAAAAAGGGGUAACCGUGGAAAAAAAUCAUAGAAACCGUCACUUCAGUGCACAGCUGCAAUAAAAAAGGCAAACAAGACACUAAACUGAUGGAACAAUGAGCUAUAAUGCACCAGGAAAGAGGCAAUACAGUCCUCUGGAAGAUGGUUAUUAGGCCUCGCUAGAAUACUGCGUGGAGCAUGGGUCACUGUCUCAGGAAGGUUAUGUUUGGAGAAAGGUGUAUUAUAAAGCAACUAAACUCUAAUGGUUUCAGUGAUCUCAGUUCUGAGGCAAAGUUAAGAGGCUCAUUUUAAGGGGUCAAAGAGUCCUUAAAGGGAUUUUAAAAUUAUAGUAACAAUCAGUAGUGUUACCAGACAACAUUUAGAGUGCUAUGAGAUUAUGAAAAUUAAGGAAGUGGUGCUGAGCACAGAGCAGAAACUUCACAAACUGCUGCACAAAAAGAAGAGACCAUUUCCUUCUGACUGCACUGUGUUAGCUGAGGGUCAGUUCAGCUUCAGGAGCGCUUGGGCCAGUGAGUGGUGCACUGUUACAGUACAUGAGACUAUCACGUGGAACAAGCAGAAGGGCAGGAAAGGCCUGGAAAAAAUGGUUCAGGGUUUGUUUUUAUUUGCUUUCUGCAUGUAUAGGUUCUUAAACUGUACCUUGUCUACCAAUAAAAUGUGCAUCCUUUGCACACAAGUCAUAACAAAUGUGCACUGGGGCAAAGAAGAAGAAAGAACAGCGUGGGAUCAUACUGUGUACAAAUAAGCAAGUUUCAGGUUUAGUUGAGACAAAGAAUUGUUGUUGGGUUGCUGCUUGAGAGAGCAUAGAAUCACAGAAUGUUUUGGGUUGGAAGGACCUCAAUACCCACCUAGCUCCAACCCUCUGCCAUGGGCAGGGCUGCCCCCCCCCAGCUCAGGCUGCCAAGGGCCCCAUCCAACCUGGCCUUGAGUGCCAGCAGGAAUGGGCCACAGGAACAUGAGAGGCUGAACUGGAGUUAUAUCCACCUAUGUUUAAAAAAGGUUGGUUUUUAGCAAUAUAUCACCAGGAAAUAGAAGGCAAGCCUCCUAAAAGAGAGCUGUUUUCUAUGGCUUAAGCUUAGAUCAUGAUUAAGCUUUGCCCUUGUUGAUGCUGGCAGCUCUAUAAAAGGGAAAGCAAGACAGGAGCAGGCAAGAUUGAGCUUGACUCUGUUGUGCAGUGAGGAAGGUAUCGAAUACUCACACUCCACAUCUGCAUGGUUGUGGCUCCCCAGUCUUAGUUCCACUCUACUGUUAUAAAGAAAAUGGUUUUGUGCUGAAAAUGCCUUGUGCGGAUUUACUACAGAUGGUGCCGUAUCGCUAGUGGAAAAACACAGGUCUGAAUCUGCUGAUGUUGUUGCAGCUAGGCAAAGCUUUCCAGUGCCUCUGAAGUUGAUGCAGAGGUGGGAAAAUAGAAAUUGUGUAGACCGAUGAUCUGGCCUUGAAAGGACCAGCAACAACUGCUUGUAUCAACCUCAGAGACACAUGUGGGAUAAUCUACCCCUCUAGAAACUUCAUUUUUCUUCUCCCAUAGUCAGAUACUGGCUUAAAUUCCAAAGCCCUGCCUUUAUACUUCCAAGUUUAGCGUAAUUGUUCUGACUGAAUGUUCUUGUGAUCCAUAUAGCCAUCCAGUCUUUCUUUGAAUCCUACAAAAUUCUUGACCUUGAUGCUUUCCUGUGGUGAUAUCUUCCACUGUCCAAUUAUACGUUAUGUGGAAGAGAUUUUCCUUUGAUCACCUUUGAAUGCAUGAGGUCUUCAUUUCAUUGAACAUUUCUUUAUUCUUGUAUUAUACGGCAAGAUAAAGAGAAGUAUCUGAUACAUCUUCUCGUGGUGUAUUUGGUAAUUUAUCUUACUAUGUCUCUUACGCAUCUUCUUUCAGAGAUAAACAAACCUCAGUCUUUUCAGUCUCCUGCCAUGGCCCUGCCUCUGCCUCCACCCCCUGCCUUCUUACUCUCACUCUUACUCUCCGACCUCUACUUGUUCCUGCAGGGUCUUUUAGAGCUUGGAAGGGAUAAGGACAGAUGAGAAUGCAGCACUGAUUGGUACAGAGGGAGAAUAUUGUCUGCUUUAUUCACUGUCUCAUUCACUGAGUAGCUGAACAUUUUGUUGGCUGUUUGGAUUGCAGCUGUACCCUGAGUAGAUGUCUUUCCUGAGCUGUCUCUAUGGUUGUUUAGGCAGUUGGUGCUGAGCUCUUCACUUCAGACAUUAACUUCUGUAACCACCUCCUCUCUGGCAUCUCUAACAGUCAUGCUGUCUCACUUCAUCUGGCAGAUAUUUUGCUACCCAGGCAGUCUGCAUUAUCCAGCAACCUGACCUUAUCUCACCUUCCUUAUUCCUUUUUUCUUAUCACAUCAAGAAGAAAGGCCUUACCCUCAUUUUAAAAAGGCCUUUUUAAUGCUUCUUUUUGCUAUCUGCCUGCUUUUAUGCCCUUCUUAAACUAUUCAUGACUUCCCUUUCAUGUUUUUGUAGUUCUCAUGUGCUUUUCCGACACUGCCCGUGCAGACUUUAUGAUGGGAGCUUUUCUGUGCUGAUCUGUAAGGUUACUUACUACUACUUUGUAGUCAUUCAGACCAUCCUUAAGUCUAGCUUUCUGGUAGUACCUCCAAGAUACAGCAAAGAGCAACGAUGCAGGGUAAUCUGGAAUUGCACAGUACGUCCAUUAGAAGUGCCCAGAUGUGAAGAUGUGCAGAGGGUGGAGCUCUCAUGAUGUUUAGUAGGAGGUGUGCUUCCUCUCUUAUGUAGAAAACUCCUUGGAAAGUAAAAAAUAAUUCAUGUGAGAUUAGACAGUGACCUCCAGGGCAGCUGGGAACCAGGCACGCAAGUGCACUUCAGUCACAUAGGUGACUCCCCAUCCCAUUAGGACAGUGCAGGAAGCUUUUUCACAGUUUUGGAGCUGAAGAUGUUUCUCAUGUGCUGUUGUUGUAGUCUUGUAGACUGUGGGUUUUUUUUUUUUUUUUUUUUUUGUAUAGGAACCCUGUUGGCAAACUAUCACCUCCCUGAGCUAAAACCCAAAACAUUCUUGAGGCUGAAAAGGGAAUUUACUUCUGAGUGUUUCCUGUUUUUUGAGGCUAUUUCAUACCGCAGUGCUGUUCUGGAUAAAACAGGGUUUCUUUCAUAUCAGUAUAUAGUACUGGAAACGAAUAAAUUAUUGAAGGUAGGAAGAUGGGAGUGAAUUAGAAGUGGACCGAGUGAAGAUCAGGUGGUACCUGAAGAAUUUCACCUGGGAAAGUGCCACUGAGAGGAAUUAGCACUGAGGUUGUCAUGUGUUGGGCUGAAAUCCACGAAGCAUUUGUUUCUGCUGCCUUACUCAGAAAGGUGCAGAAGAGAUGUUGGGAGGCACCUGGCCACUUAAUUUUGGGGAGAGCAAAGGGGAUGGUGAACAAUUCCCAACAUUGUUUAAGAUGAGGAAGAGAGUGGUGAGUGGAACCUCUUUUUUACUUUAAUAAAGGCAAUGUAAUCUGAAUGUCAUCUCUUCAUUAUGUGGUGACUGUGACUGACACAUGAUUUAAAUUGGUACUUGUAAGGCAAAUGGAAAAAAGAAGAGAAUGGCUGAGCAGUAGAAGCAAAACCAGUUGGGUCACUUCUCUUUCUUUAGUGUAGAAUUCUCAGAACACGCUCACUGAGAAAAGGUAUAAUCAAAAGUGAAUUUCAAGUUGCUUUCAGGGUUCCAACUGCCUUCCAUCUUCUCAAGGCCCCUAUUUUUGCUUUGAUAGAGGCUUUGUGAGAUGGUUAUCAUACCUCUUUCUUAGGUCUGGAAACCGACAAUACAGCUUCAUCCUCUUCUUGUGGCUUUGUCUGGAUGAGGAUGGGGAAUUUGAUGAAACGGUGACCUAAAGCAGCAGGACAAGACAAAGUACAGUUUUUGUGUACACCUUGUUAAAUUUAAACUUAAAUUCUCCACUCUUGCUGUGUUUUAACUCGAUACGCAGUGAAGUCUACUGUAUUUCAUUUUGAUUAGAAAAUAAAAGCUCAAGCUAGUUGACAGGAUCUUAGCCUUGGCACUUUAAUUCCAUCCUAGACAAUAAAUAUGUUCUGAUGAAGCAAGAACAAAUUAUUUCUGCUCCAUCUGAACCUUUUUGAAGCUUUUGUAACAUCUUUGAAGUUUAGGUAACUUUUAAGGCCUAAACCCUUAAUUGACCAGAGCUGCAAAAGCUUGUUUUUGUUACCUUUAGAGAAGCAGAGUAGCAGUGAGAGGGCUGGCGAUAUGUCUCAAGGUACUUUUUCAAGGAUAUACACCCUUUCCCCAGCUGCUUUUCCAAUAAAGUAUACUCGUUUUGCUUGGUGUUCUCUCUGCUUUACCUGGUGGGACUUGUAAAUCAUAAGCUGUAUGCAGCACUGUGGGACUGAGAAAUACCUUUCUGGGUAGGUUUAGGG